GCGGCCGCGGGUGCUGCCGGGGGGCGCGGCGGGCGCAGCAGAGCGGCGGGCGGCGGCGGCGUCGUCGAGCGCAGACAAUACAAGCGCCUCGGACCGAGUCCCCGAACCUGCCCUAGCCAAAAUGGCGGCCGAGAAAGAGCGGAAGUGACGUUAAAGAGGCUUUUGUAUACUGGAGAUAUAACCAAAAAAGGUCUAAGGUGACUUUACGCAGAGAUUGAAGGAUGAGCAGCAGAUGGUCAUCAAGGAGCAUGGAAACAGCAUUUCAGGCAAAGGAAAAUGGAACUCUGUGAACUCAGAAGCAUGCUAUGGCAUGGAAAGCAAAAAGGAAGGAGCACAAGGCAGAGGUCAGAAAGGGAGGCAGGGGCCAACAAACACAUAGGGGCUUGAGGGACAAGGGAAGGAACUUGGAUUUUUCCCUAGAUGUUAGUGGGAACUCCCUGAACUCCCUGAACUGGAGGGACAAUAAUCUGAUUCUGUUUUUAUGUAUCUAGCUUAAACUCAGAACAGCUUCCAAAAUCUUAUUCACAGAGGUUUUGUGGUCUUUUGGGCUAAGAAUUUAAUUAUAUUGCCUACAAACAAAUAUAACUGUGUAUAUUUUACUAACAUUUAACUAAAUUCUUAUCUUACUGUAUUAACAUUUCCAUGUUUAAUGAUAGCUAGCAUGCCUGUAUUAAUGCAUGUAUUGGAAAUGAUUCAGCAUUUCACUAUUUGGUGUGGUAUUUGUAUUAGGACUGGGUUAUUUUUAUUAUGCUUAAGAGGUUUCCUUCUAUUCUUAAAGUUUUAACUAGAAAAUGGUAGUAAAUAAUAUCUCCUUUAGCAUCUACAGACUUAACCACACUACUUUGUUAACAUAAUGAAUGAAUUAUAAGUGAUUACCAAUAAUGAGCCAUUCUGGCAUUCCUGGAAUAAACCCUUUUGUUCACGGUG
rnacentral:lncRNA from 1 species